rnacentral:rRNA from 1 species
UCCGUAGGGUGAACCUGCGGAGGGAUCAUUACUGAGUUUACGCUCUACAACCCUUUGUGAACAUACCUAUAACUGUUGCUUCGGCGGGUAGGGUCUCCGCGACCCUCCCGGCCUCCCGCCUCCGGGCGGGUCGGCGCCCGCCGGAGGAUAACCAAACUCUGAUUUAACGACGUUUCUUCUGAGUGGUACAAGCAAAUAAUCAAAACUUUUAACAACGGAUCUCUUGGUUCUGGCAUCGAUGAAGAACGCAGCGAAAUGCGAUAAGUAAUGUGAAUUGCAGAAUUCAGUGAAUCAUCGAAUCUUUGAACGCACAUUGCGCCCGCCAGCAUUCUGGCGGGCAUGCCUGUUCGAGCGUCAUUUCAACCCUCAAGCUCUGCUUGGUGUUGGGGCCCUACAGCUGAUGUAGGCCCUCAAAGGUAGUGGCGGACCCUCUCGGAGCCUCCUUUGCGUAGUAACUUUACGUCUCGCACUGGGAUCCGGAGGGACUCUUGCCGUAAAACCCCCAAUUUCCAGAAGGUUGACCCUCCGGUCCAGGCUCCUAAGGAACACAAUCC